rnacentral:rRNA from 1 species
AUUGAACGCUGGCGGCAGGCUUAACACAUGCAAGUCGAGCGGGGAAGAGUAGCUUGCUACUUAACCUAGCGGCGGACGGGUGAGUAAUGCUUAGGAAUCUGCCUAUUAGUGGGGGACAACAUCUCGAAAGGGAUGCUAAUACCGCAUACGUCCUACGGGAGAAAGCAGGGGACCUUCGGGCCUUACGCUAAUAGAUGAGCCUAAGUCGGAUUAGCUAGUUGGUGGGGUAAAGGCCUACCAAGGCGACGAUCUGUAGCGGGUCUGAGAGGAUGACCCGCCACACUGGGGCUGAGACACGGCCCAGACUCCUACGGGAGGCAGCAGUGGGGAAUAUUGGACAAUGGGGGGAACCCUGAUCCAGCCAUGCCGCGUGUGUGAAGAAGGCCUUUUGGUUGUAAAGCACUUUAAGCGAGGAGGAGGCUACCGAGAUUAAUACUCUUGGAUAGUGGACGUUACUCGCAGAAUAAGCACCGGCUAACUCUGUGCCAGCCGCCGCCGUAACAC